rnacentral:lncRNA from 1 species
CGAGAAGGUUCUUAGAUCUCCUAGGAAGGCCAGGCCUCUUUGGGGGUAUUCAGGUCUGAUUUCUCAAGAGCCGCAGAACCGCAGAUGGCAGGGCUGGAAGAGAGCCCGCGGAUGAUUUAAUCCACUCUUUGGAUUUUGCAAUUCUCAGCCACGGGAGGUUAAAGGAGGAGCCGAAACUGAAGAUUAGGACAAAAAGUUGGAUCUCAAGGUAGCUGGUUUGGAGGUGGCAGGACAGGUGGCCCCGCGGUGGCCCUCACGGCUGCCUGUAUGCUUUUCAGGAAGCCUUGAACAGUGCCGGGGAUAAACUUGUAGUAGUUGACUUCGCAGUCACGUGGUGUGGACCUUGCAAAAUGAUCAAGCCUUUCUUUCAUGUGAGUAUGAAACCGGUUCUGCUUUAGAAGAGAUUCUGUGUUU